GACGCUGUGAAGACACUGGGAGAAGACAGCCAUCUACAAGCUAGAGAGAGGCUCGGAAGAAAGCAAACCUGCCGUCACCUUGACCUCAGCCUUCCAGACUCCAAAACGGAAAUGUGAGGCAAUCCAUGACCCAAGAUCAGGGUCAGAGCAAACCUGUAUACCUUCCCUUCGGAAGAAAGAAAAAGAUGGCAGAAGAAGUAAACAUAGACCUCCUUUUCUUCCCUGAAGCUCAGUUCAAAUGUCACUUGUUGGAAAAUGUCUUCAGAUUUAUACCCAUCUUCACUCCCAAAGCUGGAAGAAAUGGGAGGUACAGUCUCUGGAGAAAAUGAACUAUGGAAGCUUUGGACUUGGGGCCACCAAACACGGAAGAAGGUGUAGGGCAGGAGUCAGCAAAUUUUUUUCCGUAAAGAUCCAGAUGAUUUUCAUACUAUGUUUAUGCUGGCUUCCUGCAACGAGUUGAGACGAUUUCUACCAUGUUCCAUGAUCUGGAAUUGUUUAACUAAUACUGCAAUUACCUGCUCUUUAACAAUUAGGAGGAGUCUUCCCAGACAGCAGUGGGGUAAGCAGCCUCCAGCAGACCUACGCCAGACCAGGGCCAAACUCAAGAUAAGAAGGACAAGGGGCUGACAUGGACUUUUGCCACUUGAACCAUAUUUUCUUUUUCUCUAGUGAUUUAGAAAUAAUCCAUCUGGACUUUACUU
rnacentral:lncRNA from 1 species